GUGUUUCCUUUAGCAGCAUGUAUAUUAAAAUUGGAACAAUACAGAGAAGAUUUGCAUGACCCCUGUACAAAAAUGACAUGGAAAUUCAUGAAGCAUUUCAUAUUUGA
ensembl:snRNA LOC120103201 U6 spliceosomal RNA